rnacentral:lncRNA from 1 species
CUUCUUUAUUUCCCCUAAAUUCCAACUCUUAACAAACUUUUCCCCUCUAUUUCCCUGGGUUUUAUUCCCAAGCCUCAACUCCUGCCAGACUUUUUCCCCCUCUUUAUUUCCUCAGGUUUUAUUCCUAGAUUUCAAACCUUGACAGACUUUUCCCCUCUUUAUUUCCUUGGGAUUUUUUUCCCUUUCCAUCAAGGCAGAGCAGCAGGAAUGGGGCUUUUGGGAAGAGAAAGGUGCCUCUGGAAACACCCAGAUCUGGUCUCUGAACCUUCUCAGCACCUCCUCAAACCUUGAUUUAUUUAAUCAGAGCCAUUCCCAGGAUAAAAACAUAACAGGUUGUUGUUGAGGAAGGAGAGAACCCACAGUUAAAGUGACAGGCUCCCAUAUGGAGCAGAUUUCCAGCCAAAUUCCUCCUGAUUUCUGCUCAAGUCAGAGGUGAUCCCACACUGAGCCACAAGUGCCUGAAUUUUCCUGGACUUUAUUCCAGCAGCAAAAACGCUGAAUAACAUUUUUAUUAUUAUUUUUAUUAUUUUUAUUAUUAUUAUUAUUAUUAUUUUACAAUAUGAAAUGUGAAUUCCAGAUGUGGGGGUGUGUCUCACUGUGUGCAUUCCCUCCUUUCACUCCCUCUGUUUCCCUGUGGAUUUUGUCUGUGUAUUUCUGGAAUAAUGAACAUAGAUCACUGCUCUUUGUUUUUCCUCACCAAAACAGAGCUCUGGUGACUGAAGGAUGGUCCAACCUUGUCACCUCUGCUUUCCACUGGCUCGUGCAGCUCCUGGGGAUUCCAGCAGGAGCCUCUGGGUGGGAUGGAUCCCAGGGAAAUGGGCUGACUUGCUUUUGUUGCUGGCAGAACUGCUGUGUCGGUGUUGAAUUGAGGGAAGCAGUGGAAAUAAGGAAGCUGAAUGAUCAGUGUGCUUUGUUUGACAUCGUUGGUAACUCAAUACUCCUGGCUCAAGGGGGAGGAAUCCGUGCCUGGAGAUUGGAGAAAGCUCAGAUCCCAACAGGAGAAUGUGCUUUGAGAAGGGCUGGGUUGAAAAUUUGGGAUGUCAGAAAUCAGAUCCCGGAUUGGCAGAUAAGAACCAGCAAGGCUCAGAAACUACUGGAGCUUCUGGCUGAGGUAGCGGAGAAUUCUGGAACAAACAACUUGGGAAUGGCCUAA